rnacentral:rRNA from 1 species
AUUGAACGCUGGCGGCAGGCUUAACACAUGCAAGUCGAGCGGAGAUGAGGUGCUUGCACCUUAUCUUAGCGGCGGACGGGUGAGUAAUGCUUAGGAAUCUGCCUAUUAGUGGGGGACAACAUUCCGAAAGGAAUGCUAAUACCGCAUACGUCCUACGGGAGAAAGCAGGGGAUCCUCGGACCUUGCGCUAAUAGAUGAGCCUAAGUCGGAUUGGCUAGUUGGUGGGGUAAAGGCCUACCAAGGCGACGAUCUGUAGCGGGUCUGAGAGGAUGAUCCGCAACACUGGGACUGAGACACGGGCCAGACCCCUACGGGAGGCAGCAGUGGGGAAUAUUGGACAAUGGGCGGAAGCCUGAUCCAGCCAUGCCGCGUGUGUGAAGAAGGCCUUUUGGUUGUAAAGCACUUUAAGCGAGGAGGAGGCUACUGAGACUAAUACUCUUGGAUAGUGGACGUUACUCGCAGAAUAAGCACCGGCUAACUCUGUGCCAGCAGCCGCCGCCGUAA